rnacentral:tmRNA from 1 species
GGGCCUGACUUGGUUUCGAUUGGUAGUUUUUUGAUAUAGAGGUGCAAGUAGAUUUAUUCACUUAAUGAAUUAACACAUUGUAAUUGGAAACAAUUAUCAAUACGCAGCUGCUGCAUAAGUAACUGCCAUCACACCAUACUCCGAUACGGAUAAUGUGAUGUCAUAUAUCGGAAAAGACCUUGAAGGAAAACAACAAAACCAGUGUUGGUUAUUACAGCUACGAUACUAUAAAUCAGAACAGUUGGGUUGACUUUGUUAGUGGGAAAGAAACUAAACAAACUUGUAAAUGACUUUUAUGUUAAAGGUAUCAAGACCCGAAGUUCGAUUCUUCGGCAGGUCCACUA